GACGAACCGUGCGAACGUUGUUCGGAUUCACUGGGCUUAAAGGGCGCGUAGGCGGGCACGCCAGUCAGGGGUGAAAUCCUCCGGCUCAACCGGAGAAGGGCCUUUGAUACUGCGUGCCUCGAGGGGGGUAGGGGCGUGUGGAACUUCGGGUGGAGCGGUGAAAUGCGUAGAGAUCCGAAGGAACGCCGGUGGCGAAAGCGACGCGCUGGACCCCACUGACGCUGACGGCGCGAAAGCCAGGGGAGCGAACGGG
rnacentral:rRNA from 1 species